AUUGAACGCUGGCGGCAGGCCUAACACAUGCAAGUCGAACGAAGUGGCGCACGGGUGAGUAAUAUAUAGUUAAUCUGCCCUAAACAGAGGAACAACAGUUGGAAACGGCUGCUAAUAACUCAUAGUGUAGGAUGAGACUAUAUCGGAUCAGCUAGUUGGUAAGGUAAUGGCUUACCAAGGCUAUGACGCGUAACUGGUCUGAGAGGAUGAUCAGUCACAGUGGAACUGAGACACGGUCCAAACUCCUACGGGAGGCAGCAGUAAGGUAUAUUGCGCAAUGGGGGAAACCCUGACGCAGCAACGCCGCGUGGAGGAUGACACUUUUCGGAGCGUAAACUCCUUUUAUCAGGAAAGCGGUACCUGAUGAAUAAGCACCGGCUAACUCCGUGCCAGCAGCCGCGGUAAUUC
rnacentral:rRNA from 1 species